AGAGUUUGAUCCUGGCUCAGGACGAACGCUGGCGGCGUGCUUAAUGCAUGCAAGUCGAACGAAGAACCCACUAUGGGUAACCACUGUGGGAUUCUUAGUGGCGAACGGGUGAGUAACACGUGAGAAACCUGCCCCGGAGACCGGGAUAGCCCAGGGAAACCUGGAUUAAUACCGGAUACCCUCUUACGACCGCAUGGUCGAUCGAGGAAAUGGUCCGCUGCUCCGGGAUGGUCUCGCGUCCUAUCAGCUAGUUGGUGAGGUAACGGCUCACCAAGGCUAUGACGGGUAGCUGGUCUGAGAGGACGAUCAGCCACACUGGGACUGAGACACGGCCCAGACUCCUACGGGAGGCAGCAGCAGGGAAUUUUGCACAAUGGGCGAAAGCCUGAUGCAGCGACGCCGCGUGGGGGAUGAAUGCCUUCGGGUUGUAAACCCCUUUCAGGAGGGACGAAGCGAAAGUGACGGUACCUCCAGAAGAAGCCCCGGCCAACUACGUGCCAGCAGCCGCGGUAAUACGUAGGGGGCGAGCGUUGUCCGGAUUUAUUGGGCGUAAAGAGCUCGUAGGCGGCUCAGCAAGUCGGCCGUGAAAGCCUGAGGCUCAACCUCAGGAUGCCGGUCGAAACUGCUGUGGCUAGGGUUCGGUAGAGGAGAGUGGAAUUCCCGGUGUAGCGGUGAAAUGCGCAGAUAUCGGGAGGAACACCAGUAGCGAAGGCGGCUCUCUGGGCCGACACCGACGCUGAGGAGCGAAAGCUAGGGGAGCAAACAGGAUUAGAUACCCUGGUAGUCCUAGCCGUAAACGUUGGGAACUAGGUGUGGCGGAUU
rnacentral:rRNA from 1 species